UAUGAUUUUGUGAGCUAAGUUUGUUACCGUCUGCAGCAUCUCAAUGAACUAUGAGUCGACGUGCAGAAUUUAUAAUUU
rnacentral:sRNA from 1 species